CCUACGGGUGGCUGCAGUGGGGAAUAUUGCACAAUGGGGGGAACCCUGAUGCAGCAACGCCGCGUGAAGGAAGAAGGCUUUCGGGUUGUAAACUUCUAUCAAUAGGGACGAAAAGAAUGACGGUACCUCGUAAGAAAGCCCCGGCAAACUACGUGCCAGCAGCCGCGGUAAUACGUAGGGGGCGAGCGUUGUCCGGAAUGACUGGGCGUAAAGGGAGUGUAGGCGGCAUAUUAAGUUAUGUGUGAAAGCCCGCGGCUCAACCGCGGAAUUGCACAUAAAACUGGUAAGCUGGAGUGCAGGAGAGGUAAGUGGAAUUCCCGGUGUAGCGGUGGAAUGCGUAGAUAUCGGGAGGAACACCAGAGGCGAAGGCGACUUACUGGACUGUAACUGACGCUGAGGCUCGAAAGCGUGGGGAGCAAACAGGAUUAGAUACCCCUGUAGUC
rnacentral:rRNA from 1 species